GCAUAUUCAUAAGGUGGGCGGGACACAGCGCGGGCGUUUAUAAGCCGCCGCCCCGCCAGCCUCAGCGUACAUCGCGCUGAAGCUUUGAAGUGCUGUGUGGACCCCGCACCUCCAGGGCACCGGUCAGAAUGGCAUCAGAUGAGGGAAAACUCUUUGUCGGUGGACUGAGUUUUGACACCAAUGAGCAGUCAUUGGAACAAGUCUUCUCUAAAUAUGGACAAAUUUCUGAAGUCGUUGUGGUGAAAGACAGAGAGACGCAGAGAUCCAGAGGUUUUGGCUUUGUUACUUUUGAAAACAUAGAUGAUGCUAAAGAUGCAAUGAUGGCCAUGAAUGGAAAGUCUGUAGACGGACGUCAGAUCAGAGUUGAUCAGGCUGGAAAAUCAUCAGAGAACAGAUCUCGUGGCUACAGAGGGGGGUCUUCUGGGGGCAGAGGCUUUUUCCGUGGCAGCAGAGGUCGGGGCCGUGGCUUCUCUAGAGGAGGUGGAGACAGAGGCUAUGGCGGAAGCAGAUUUGAUUCCAGAAGCGGAGGAUAUAAUGGCUCCAGAGACUACUAUAAUAGCAGCAGGAGUCAAGGUGGCUAUGGUGACAGGUCUUCAGGAGGAUCCUACAGAGACAGCUAUGACAGUUACGGCUGAAGAGAAGAUGGACACUCGACGUGGAAGCUGAGUGGGGAUUCUGAGGAAGGAGAGCACUCGUUCCAAGGAAGCAGGACCAAGACAGGAGUUUGCCAACCAGCAAUGAAAUGCAUCAGAGAAGACCAAGAAGGACAGCCAUUGACUGGAGUGGUGGAGAUGAAGAGCUUUGAGCAGUGUUGUUAAUUAUUUUUAUAUAGGUCAAUUGAACAAGGAAAUAAGUCAAAUUAAGCUAGAAUAAAAUACUGGAAUGUGGAAAAAAAAAUGAAUCUCUGUAGUACUUUUGUGGGGAAACAUGAGAAUAAUAGAUUGUGGCCAAGGCAUACAAUAGAAAUCUAAUCUGGUGUACAUACCAGUUAAAAGUACAAAAUAAACCAAUGCAGUUCUGGUUGGGGAGGCAGACAGAGAGGGUAACCUGUCUUUAAGGGCAAGUUUGAGGAAGAAAUUCAGUUGCAUCAUUGUAACCUUGAAUUAAGUUGGCCUAAUACAUUAAGUUUGUACAUCUGCAGAACUUCAAUAGUGAAGCAGGUACAUCUGGAGGGAACUGUCAGAUGAGCAAUUACAUAUGGAGUCAGUAUUUGUGUAGCACAGAAGCUGCUGCUGCCAGUUGAAAUGGUAACAAAAGAGUCUAAUUUGCACUUAAAUGCUAAAGCUUUUAUGAGUUUGGAUAAUGAAUGAUUUUCUUCCAUACACACUAGAGUAAUUAAAACUGUUUUGCUGAUGAAAGUUGAGAUGUGAUGUUUCUGCUACUUACAGAAGUAGCUGCAUGUUUGCAAAGUUUUGUGUUUUGUUGUUGUUUUUUUUUUUUUAAUGUCCUGGAAUUUUCUAGUAGAGCAACUUCAUCAGGUGAAAGCUGUUAGGUGCUUGGAGAUGAGAAGUGGAACAAGGCAAGUGUUGAAGCAGUACUGAGCCAGCCACACAGCUUUUGAGUACUGCAGUUGGAAGCUUCAGAUGGAUGGUGGGAGCAUUCAGACUUUAAAAAGGCUGGUAAGGUAGUACUAGUAGGAUAGUAACUGGUUUCACCAGUCUGAUUAAUGCCAGGAAGGUGCCCUGUACAGAUGGGGCAAAGUGUGAGCUGCUUGAAUGAGUUAGAAAGUGCAGUCCUAACAGCUGGCAAUUUUUUAAAACUUAUAAAACAUUUGCCUGUGACUAAAGAGGAGCUGCGUAGUCAGAACAAACCCUGCUGGUAUGUGUGAAUGGGAAAUUCAGCCCAAGAUGAAAGGCGAAUAAGCCACCAAUUGCAGAGGCUGCAAUUUUGUAUUGAUUCCUUUGACUCUGUGGAAUAGAAUGGCUAAUAAAAGACUUAGUGCCAUCUUCCCUAA